CCCGGUAGCUAAGUGCGGAAGAGAUAACCGCUGAAAGCAUCUAAGCGGGAAACUUGCCUUGAGAUGAGUCUUCCCUGACUCUUUAAGGGUCCUAAAGGAACGUUUAAGACUAAGACGUUGAUAGGUUGGGUGUGUAAGCGUAGCGAUACGUUGAGCUAACCAAUACUAAUGAACCGUGAGGCUUAACCUG
rnacentral:rRNA from 1 species